GACGAACGCUGGCGGCGUGCCUAACACAUGCAAGUCGUACGGGACCGGGGGCAACUCCGGUUCAGUGGCAGACGGGUGCGUAACACGUGAGGAACUUGUCCGGUGGCGGGGGAUAGCCGGCCCAACGGCCGGGUAAUACCGCAUACGCUCGUUCGGGGGCAUCCCUGGGCGAGGAAAGCAGCCGCAAAGGUUGCGCCGACGGAGGGCCUCGCGACCUAUCAGCUUGUUGGCGGGGUAACGGCCCACCAAGGCGACGACGGGUAGCUGGUCUGAGAGGAUGAUCAGCACAUUGGGACUGAGACACGGCCCAGACUCCUACGGGAGGCAGCAGUGGGGAAUAUUGCGCAAUGGCCGCAAAGGCUG
rnacentral:rRNA from 1 species